rnacentral:rRNA from 1 species
GACGAACGCUGGCGGCGUGCUUAACACAUGCAAGUCGAACGGUAAGGCCCUUCCAGGGCUCCACGAGUGGCGCCCGGGGGCGUAACACGUGAGUAAGCUGCCCACACCUUCAUGACAACGCUAGGAAACUGGUCCUAUUCCUCGAGAUGUGCUCCUGCUGCAUGGCGGGGGCUUCAGAGCUCCGGCGGUGGUGGAUGGACUCGCGGCCCAUCAGCUUGUUGGUGGGGGAGUGGCCUACCAAGGCGACGGCGGGCAGCCGGGCGGAGAGGGUGACCGGCCACAUUGGGGCUGGGAUACGGCCCAGACUCCGACGGGAGGCAGCAGUGGGGAAUAUUGCACAAUGGGCGCAAGCCGGAUGCAGCAACGCCGCGGGCGGGAUGACGGCCUUCGGGUUGUAAACCGCAUUCAGCAGGGACGAAGCUGUUCGUGACGGUACCUGCAGAAGAAGCACCGGCUAACUACGUG